GAUGAACGCUGGCGGCGUGCCUAAUACAUGCAAGUCGAGCGAACAGACGAGGGGCUUGCUCCUCUGACGUUAGCGGCGGACGGGUGAGUAACACGUGGAUAACCUACCUAUAAGACUGGGAUAACUUCGGGAAACCGGAGCUAAUACCGGAUAAUAUAUUGAACCGCAUGGUUCAAUAGUGAAAGACGGUUUUGCGGACACUUAUAGAUGGAUCCGCGCUGCAUUAGCUAGUUGGUAAGGUAACGGCUUACCAAGGCAACGAAGCGUAGCCGCCCUGAGAGGGUGAUCGGCCACCCUGGAACUGAGACACGGUCCAGACUCCUACGGGAGGCAGCAGUAGGGAAUCUUCCGCAAUGGGCGAAAGCUUGACGGAGCAACGCCGCGUGAGUGAUGAAGGUCUUCGGAUCGUAAAACUCUGUUAUUAGGGAAGAACAAAUGUGUAAGUAACUAUGCCCGUCUUGACGGUACCUAAUCAGAAAGCCACGGCUAACUACGUG
rnacentral:rRNA from 1 species